rnacentral:rRNA from 1 species
AUUAUGUGGGAAUCAUAAUGGCCGAAAAUCUAAGGUUUCUUGGGGAAGGUUCGUCCGCCCAAGGUAAGCCGGGAGCUAAGGCGAGGCCGCGAGGCGUAGUCGAUGCACAUACGGUAGAAAUUCCGUAGCCACCGAACUUUAAACCAGAAGGACACUUUCAGAUAGCGGGACCCAGCCGUUGGUAGAGCUGGGCGCAAGGGACCGAAAUAUAGUAGGGAAGUCCGCGAUGCUGGGAGGCGAGAAAAGCUCUGGUGUACACUAAGGUGCCCGUACCGCAAACCGACACAGGUAGAUGAGGAGAGAAUCCUAAGGCCAACGGGAGAAGGGUUGUUAAGGAACUCGGCAAAUUGACCCCGUAACUUCGGAAGAAGGGGAGCCUCGAAAGAGGCCGCAGUGAAUAGGCCCAAGCAACUGUUUACCAAAAACACAGGUCUAUGCUAAAUCGAAAGAUGACGUAUAUGGGCUGACGCCUCCCCGGUGCCGGAAGGUUAAGAGGAGAGCUUAGCGCAAGCGAAGGUUUGAAUUGAAGCCCCGGUAAACGGCGGCCGUAACGAUAACGGUCCUAAGGUAGCGAAAUUCCUUGUCAGGUAAGUUCUGACCCGCACGAAUGGCGUAAUGAUUUGGGCACUGUCUCGACAGCCCGCCCGGCGAAAUUGUAGUACUGGUGAAGAUGCCAGUUACCCGCAACUAGACGGAAAGACCCCAUGGAGCUUUACUGCAGUUUAAUACUGGGAAUCGGUAAUUCAUGUACAGGAUAGGUGGGAGACUGGGAAGCACGGCCGUCAGGUCGUGUGGAGUCACCGGUGGGAUACCACUCUUGGAUUGCUGGUUUCCUAACCUGCGGCCCUGAAUCGGGUCGGGGGACACUGUUAGACGGGCAGUUUGACUGGGGCGGUCGCCUCCAAAAGAGUAACGGAGGCGCUCAAAGGUUCGUUCAGCACGGACGGAAAUCGUGCAUUGAGUGUAAACGCAUAAACGAGCCUAACUGCGAGACCGACGGGUCGAGCAGUAACGAAAGUUGGAGUUAGUGAUCCGGUGGCAUGUGAGUGGAAAUGCCAUCGCUCAACGGAUAAAAGCUACCCUGGGAUAACAGGCUGAUCUCCCCCAAGCGUCCACAGCGACGGGGAGGUUUGGCACCUCGAUGUCGGCUCGUCGCAUCCUGGGGCUGUAUUCGGUCCCAAGGGUUUGGCUGUUCGCCAAUUAAAGCGGCACGCGAGCUGGGUUCAGAACGUCGUGAGACAGUUCGGUCCCUAUCUGUUGCGGGCGUAAGAGAUUUGAAGGGAGCUGUCCUUAGUACGAGAGGACCGGGAUGGACGUACCUCUGGUGCACCAGUUGUCCUGCCAAGGGCAUAGCUGGGUAGCUAUGUACGGACGAGAUAAACGCUGAAAGCAUCUAAGCGUGAAACUCUCCCUAAGAUGAGAUCUCUCAUCCAUUAUGGAGUAAGGGCCCAGAAAGACGAUCUGGUUGAUAGGCCGGAGGUGGAAGCACGGUAACGUGUGCAGCUGACCGGUACUAAUAGCCCGAGGGCUUGACU